rnacentral:misc_RNA from 1 species
AUAUUCUCCUGUCAAAAAGUAAGGUUAAGUCAGUGACAAACGUGCCUACUUAAAGUUAUGUAAUUUAAAGUUGUACCUGGAGGAUAUCUGCCAGUGAGGGCCCCAAAUAAAGCCCUUUCGAAAUUCCUGAAGGCGCAGUUCACUCGAGAAACGAAGAAUUUCCACAUUAAAGAGGCUGUGAUCAUGUUCAAUUAAGGAACCAAAUAUAGACUAAAACCAAAGAUAUCACCCUUAACGUAGUAAAUAAGUACCCGGAAGUGAUUUCACAUAAAUAACCAAACCAAAGAAAAAAAAAAGAAAAUCGCAAACAAGAUUACCCAACGGCACCCGAAUUCUUCAAUCAUCCUCCGCCAAGAAUACCAAACGAAGGAAAAAAAACUGAUCAUACCUCAUCAUCAAGUCAAUUUUUACUUUCGAUAACCGUCGAGUUACUACCGAUAGACAAUAGCGAGCUUCGAAAAAUCGCGUUAAAGGAGAGAGAGGGUCGAAGAAGGGGUUCCCCCGAGCACCAUAACGGUGGUGGUACCCCGUCUGCUUUCUAAAGAAAACGACGUUGGGCCAGUUCAGUUAAUCGCAUAAGCUGAGAUGGCUUCCAAAACCGUUUUGGUCCGGUUUCACGAGAAAAUCGGGUACCUGGUUUUCGGUUCGCCCGGUAUCAUACGGAAAAAGGGUGUCGGGGUGCAGACGGGCGUAGGUGCGAUACGGUUGUUCGGUACCAAAAGUCAGCUACAUCAUCAGUGUGGAUAUUUGGGAGCUACGAGGGAACGUAAUGCAGGGAUUUCACAUGGGACCCAACAAAACCGAUUAUCACCCUUACAACCCACCCCUCUGGGUCACACAGCUGCCCCAUCGGAAACCAUACGAACUUACGCGACCAUGAACACCCACCAACCUGGACCAAUGCCAGAAUACCAAGUCGACCCUUAUAGAUUACUAGAGGACGACCUCAAAGAAGUUUAUAGUUAUAUUAAAACCGCUCUUAGAAGAAACACAUACCAAGAAGACCUUUACGAAAUAGCGACAUACUAUUUCGAUGGAAACGGUAAAGCCCUUAGGCCCAUGGUAGCAAUUUUAAUGGCCCGAGCCAUGAAUUACCACAUGUACAAAGAAAACCGGUCACUUUUGAAUGCACAGAGGGAGGUGGCGAUGAUUUCCGAAAUGAUCCACACCGCCUCGUUGGUCCACGACGACGUCAUCGAUCAGUCAGAUUUCAGGAGGGGGAAGCCCAGCGUGAACGUCAUGUGGAAUCACAAAAAGGUUACGAUGGCCGGUGACUUUAUCUUAGCUAUAGCUUCUAUGAUGAUUGCUAGAAUAAAGAAUAACGAUGUAACCUUAGUUCUUAGCCAGGUAGUAACUGACCUAGUCCAAGGAGAGUUCAUGCAGCUAGGAUCAAAAGAAACCGAAAACGAAAGAUUUGCUCACUACUUAACCAAAACUUAUAGAAAAACUGCUAGUCUUAUGGCGAAUUCAAUGAAAUCUGUGGCUAUUUUGGCUGGAGCAGAUGAACAACUAGCAGAACUAGCGUUCCAGUAUGGGCGUAACUUAGGUCUAGGAUUUCAAUUGGUAGAUGAUCUACUGGAUUUCGUUUCGAAUUCUGCUAUGAUGGGUAAACCUACCGCGGCAGAUUUGAAACUGGGUUUGGCCACCGCUCCUGUCUUGUUUGCCUGUGAAAAGUAUCCAGAACUAAACCCGAUGAUAAUGCGUCGUUUCCAAGAGCCAGGCGACGUAGAAAAGGCCUUCGAGCUGGUCCACAAGAGCAAGGGCCUGGAACAGACCCAAUUCCUGGCAAAACAGCAUUGCCAGGAAGCGAUGAGGAUAGCGAGCAUGCUUAAAGAAAGCCCUUUCCAGAAGGGACUCGGAGUUACGGCGGAUUACGUGCUCAACAGGAUGAAAUAGCAGUCUUUUAAAUUCUAAUAUUUUACUUAUCCAAAAUGUAUAUACUUAGUGGGCGAGUGUGAUUUUUAUGGCGUGUAAUUGUUGUGGAGACUGGUUUCUUAGAAAUUUUCUUCCGCUAUUUUGGUAAUGUACGAGUUUUUAAUAAUUUACUUUAAAUCUAGAUCUACCUGAAACUAUUUAUUUUUUUUUAAUAAGGUCUUUGCAACAUGUGAAUACUUGAUAUAAAUAUAACGCAAGAAGUGUGUUUCAGUUUUAUUAUUUAUAAAGAUAUAAAGAAUUGUAAUUUAGGGAUUAGAGAGGGUUUUAUCUAAUGGAAGUUUUGGUGAUUCUAGAUUUUUAAUACACAGGGAGACUGUUUUAGGUAAUAAUUGUCCAAGAUGUUAUUUUGCUGAAAAGUUUAAAAAAAUUUUAAAAAUCUUCCUUUGUACCUCAGAAACGAAACAAGUUUCAUCGACCUCAGUACGUUAAGUCAAUAAAAUGGAUACCCUGUGGUUCCCUAAAGAAGUUUUCUUUAUAGGAAACUUCUUUAACUGCGAGACUUGCCAUUUUAGAAAAAUAUAAAAGUUCUCACGUUUUUUAAGGUUUUUACUUAUUAAAGCAAAUUUUUGCAUUAUGAACACAGGCUUAAAUAAAAUUUCUCUGAGCAAAGACCCGAAAGUUAAAGGUGGUCAGUUAAUUUAUGUAAAGCCAAGGAAAUCCAAAAAAUACCAAGAAAAUAAAAGCAAACGAAUGAAAUUGAUGUUUUUUUUUGUACUUACUUGGAAUUCUUUGAUGUGACUUGGGUUUAUUGUACAAAUUUUUUAAUUUUUAUUUACAAGUUCACAAAUAUGCAAAAAAACAUCAACGCAAGAGAACUCAGAACUUCCUGCUUUCUAUUGCGUGGCUUUCUAUUUUCUUCGAUUAGGACCUCCAAAAUCUACGAUAAAUUUAAAGAAACUCAUGGAAAACCAAGAAAUAUCAAGGAAAUUUAAUAAACUGAUGUUUUUUAGACUUUUAUUUAUGACUUGUGAAAAUAUACCGACAGCUUAAAAAAACCCAAAGAUCUUACUUUCUAUUGCCUUUUCUCUGCUUUACUUAGCCAAACCCUAUUAUCAGAGUUAAUAUUAGGAUAUGGAAAACCAAAAAAUAAAAAAAAUGAAACAAUUUGUGACUUGAGUUUUCUAAGGUGAACUUUAAUUGCUUUCUAUUGCUAUAUCUUCUAUUAGGGACGCCGUUUACGUUCAAUCCAGUGGAACUAAUGAAAAGCCAAGGAAAACCAGCAAAUGCCAAGAAAAUUAACGGAAAUUGGUUGUGUAAAAUCGGUGUUCCUUAGGCUUUUUUUAUUUUGACUAGGGCUAAGGUGAAAUUUAUAGAUCAGACCAAGAAAUCCAAGAAAAUCAAAGAACUUGACUUGGUUGCCUUUUCUCUGCUUUUUGUCCCUUAAACUUCCACUCUUUACGAUCAGUAUAAAGAUUUACUCGUGGAAAUCUAGUAAAUACCAAUUGAUGUUUUUUUUUCAUCGAAAAGUGGAAAAAUUCGGAUUUAAAAUCAAAAAUCCUUAGGAAACCCAAAAAAACUUAAAGUUCUUUGUUUUAUUACAGCCUUACUAUCAGUAUAAGGAAUAUCUUAUGAAGAGUAAAUAAGAAGAACUAUUUUUUUGCAAUUUCUUAGUUUUGCUUUUGUGGCUUUAAUUUACUUAUGAGAGGAAAAACAACAUUUAAAAAAAAACACACGCAUACCGUAGAAAAUUAAGAGUUUUAGCAUUCUAAGGCAUUCAGUUGCGCUUUUUCUAGUUUUCUAUUGUUUUUUGCCUUCUACUUGGUCAGAUCCAUUUCUUUCAAUUCAGCAGUAUUUUGUCACUUUUGGCUGCCAAUUUUUUGCAUUUCUUCUUAUAAAUCCGCUCAAUCAGUUUUUUUUUCAUAUCAAUUAAAUUGUAUCGAACGGAUAACUAAAAAGUCUUGACCGAGCAUUCAACGGUGUUUUGUCCUUGAAAUCCUUCUAAUACAAUUAACAAAUGGGUUGGAUGUUAUUAGUUCUGAUAACUGAGCGAUUUCAUCUGCUGUUGGUGAAAAACAGUUGUUCUAUUUUAGAGAUAUUAUAAUAAAAAUCGGCAAAAAUGUAUCAAAAAAUCUGGAAUUACCACUGCACUUCUUGUAGUCAACUCCUCUCCUUUGGCCUCCAGACCCAUUAAAGAAUUGUGUAAUUUGAUUGAGUGAAUGCAAGUGUGUGAUUAAAUACGUAAGACGGUUUUAUUGAUUGUCUUAGAGGAGUUUGAAAAUCGUUUUUUUUCUGUUUUUAAGACAUCUUAAAAACCAAAUGUUAGCUGUAAUAAAUACAGUGUGGUUAUAUUGUAAUAAACAACCAUACAAAAUUAAUUUUUAAAAUAUAUAUGAGAAAGUCAAUGCACGAUUACUGUACUGCCAAAUAAAGCUGGAUUUAGGUAGAUAUUAACAAGAAAUAAGAGAUUCGUAUAGAUUAUUUUAUGUAAACCAAGUAAAAAGGUAUAGGUAUAGGGGCCAGGUAAAAAGUAUAUUAUAAAGGCUUGAAUUUUUAGUACAUUGCUGGUAUAUUAACGAACUUUAAAGAAUUUUUAAAUUUAAAACUUCUUAAAGGUCCUAUCAAAUAUUUCAAGAAGUUUUUCAAGUUAACACAGAUUUUUUCUGAGAUAUCUUGUCCUGGUACUAUAAUAUGGUUAAAGCUCUUAUUUCCAAUUUUUUUCUAUUUAAACUCACUUUAAGGCCGAAUAUUCAUAAUUAAAAAAAGUCUCUCUUUACUAAAAAUAUUCUUCUACACUGUGUAAAAUUCCAUUGCUCAUAAAUAAAUCGUUAUAUUAAGGUUAGGGUAGCCAAUUUUUUAUAUUAAUUAAAUUUUCUAUAAUAUAUUGCCAGCAAUUUUAUCAUAUUAUAUUUACAAUGUAAAUCACAUGUUAUAUUUAAAUUUAACGUACUAACAAAAAUAUCCCAGUCAUUUGGUUUAGUUUAUAUAUUAUUAUUUAGUAUAGUACUACACCUAAAAAAAUUAUAUAAAAAUCAGUAAUGCAACUGUUCUGUACAUAUAUCUGAUGUAUGUACCCUAUGUACAAUUUUUUUUUAAAUAUAUUAUAUUGUGUAAAUAAAGAUUGAGUCAAAAUAAAUGCAACAAAGCUUUGAGCUUGGGUGUCCAAAGUAAAAAAAAUAUAGUCAAUAUAUAGGACACGCACGUAUAGGAAGCUGUAUAUACGCUGUAGUUAUUUAAUUCCUAGUUAUUAAACGUUGUAUUUGUUAUUUUUUAAUGUUUAAUAUAUUAUUGUAUCUAAAAA